rnacentral:rRNA from 1 species
UACUGCGGAGGUCAUUAACGAGUUUUGAAUGGGUUGUAGCUGGUCUUAAACAAAGACAUGUGCACACCCUGCUCAUCCACUCUUCAUACCCCUGUGCACCUAUUGUAGGCUUGGUGGGAUAGCUAUUUGAUUAGCUUGAAAGCCUUGUCUAUGUUUUACUACAAACAUGUCAGUUAAAGAAUGUAACAAGUUGCGUUUAACGCAUUUAAAUACAACUUUCAGCAACGGAUCUCUUGGCUCUCGCAUCGAUGAAGAACGCAGCGAAAUGCGAUAAGUAAUGUGAAUUGCAGAAUUCAGUGAAUCAUCGAAUCUUUGAACGCACCUUGCGCUCCUUGGUAUUCCGAGGAGCAUGCCUGUUUGAGUGUCAUGGUAUUCUCAAACCUUUAAAGCUUUAGAGCGAUAAAGGCUUGGAUUUGGAGGUUGUGUUGGCGCAAGUCAACUCCUCUUAAAUGCAUUAGCGUGAAUCUUUUACGGAUCGCCUCCAGUGUGAUAAUUUGUCUACGCUGUGGUGUUGAAGUAUAAAUGUAGUGUUCAUGCUUCUAACUGUCUUGUAACGAGACAAACAUAAUUGACAAUCUGACCUCAAAUCAGGUAGGACUACCCGCUGAACUUAAGCAUAUCA